AGUGAACGCUGGCGGUAGGCCUAACACAUGCAAGUCGAACGGCAGCACAGUAAGAGCUUGCUCUUGCGGGUGGCGAGUGGCGGACGGGUGAGGAAUACAUCGGAAUCUACUUUUUCGUGGGGGAUAACGUAGGGAAACUUACGCUAAUACCGCAUACGACCUACGGGUGAAAGCAGGGGAUCUUCGGACCUUGCGCGAUUGAAUGAGCCGAUGUCGGAUUAGCUAGUUGGCGGGGUAAAGGCCCACCAAGGCGACGAUCCGUAGCUGGUCUGAGAGGAUGAUGAGCCACACUGGAACUGAGACACGGUCCAGACUCCGAGGGGAGGCAGCAGUGGGGAAUAGUGGACAAUGGGCGGAAGCCUGAUCCAGCCAUACCGGGUGGGUGCAGAAGGCCUUCGGGUUGUAAAGCGCUUUUGUGGGGAAAGAAAAGCAGCAGGUUAAUACCCCGCUGUUCUGACGGUACCCAAAGAAUAAGCACCGGCUAACUUCGUG
rnacentral:rRNA from 1 species